ACAUGAGCGUAGUUUUCUACAGAUGUUUAAUCCAGCUUACCAUGGCUUGGACAAUACUGAACCUGAGUUUGAUAUAAAGUGGAUAAGGACCGCUUAGAUGAUCCACAUGUCAAAGCCAAUCUGCUAUUUCAGGUCAGAGUUGUCUUCAACUAUAUGUUUUUCGAAUAAAAACUUCAUGUCGUUUUGCUUUUUAGUUCUCUCAUCGUUUUAUUCUCUUACCAUGCAUGAAUUCUGCUUUCAGCCACAUUUCUCGCAGUUAGAAUUACCAAUCAGUGAUUACGUCACAGACUUGAAGUCAGUAUUGGAUCAAAGUAUGCGAAUCAUCCAGGCCAUGAUAGAUAUCAUAUAUGUGCUAAUAAUGGGUGGAUUUGAAGCUCAAUUACUUGCAUGCAUCUUCUGCAAAUGGUCGUGCA
rnacentral:lncRNA from 1 species